rnacentral:rRNA from 1 species
GCGGACAGUGUCUGGUGGGUAGUUUGACUGGGGCGGUCUCCUCCUAAAGAGUAACGGAGGAGCACGAAGGUUGGCUAAUCCUGGUCGGACAUCAGGAGGUUAGUGCAAUGGCAUAAGCCAGCUUGACUGCGAGCGUGACGGCGCGAGCAGGUGCGAAAGCAGGUCAUAGUGAUCCGGUGGUUCUGAAUGGAAGGGCCAUCGCUCAACGGAUAAAAGGUACUCCGGGGAUAACAGGCUGAUACCGCCCAAGAGUUCAUAUCGACGGCGGUGUUUGGCACCUCGAUGUCGGCUCAUCACAUCCUGGGGCUGAAGUAGGUCCCAAGGGUAUGGCUGUUCGCCAUUUAAAGUGGUACGCGAGCUGGGUUUAGAACGUCGUGAGACAGUUCGGUCCCUAUCUGCCGUGGGCGCUGGAGAACUGAGGGGGGCUGCUCCUAGUACGAGAGGACCGGAGUGGACGCAUCACUGGUGUUCGGGUUGUCAUGCCAAUGGCACUGCCCGGUAGCUAAAUGCGGAAGAGAUAAGUGCUGAAAGCAUCUAAGCACGAAACUUGCCCCGAGAUGAGUUCUCCCUGAGACUUUAGGUCUCCUGAAGGAACGU